AGCACCAGCGCAUCCACACGGGCGAGAAGCCCUACGAGUGCCCCGACUGCGGCAAGCGCUUCCGCGGCUGGUCCGGCUUCAUCCAGCACCACCGCAUCCACACAGGCGAGAAGCCCUACGAGUGCGGCCAGUGCGGCCGCGCCUUCAGCCACAGCUCGCACUUCACGCAGCACGUGCGGGUCCACAACGGCGAGAAGCCCUACGCGUGCGGUGAGUGCGGCCAGGCCUUCAGCCAGAGCUCCAACCUGCUGCGCCACCAGCGGCUGCACACGGGCGAGAAGCCCUACGCCUGCAGCCAGUGCGGCAAGGCCUUCAUCUGGAGCUCCGUGCUCAUCGAGCACCAGCGCAUCCACACGGGCGAGAAGCCCUACGAGUGCCCCGACUGCGGCAAGGCCUUCCGCGGCCGCUCGCACUUCUUCCGGCACCUGCGGACCCACACGGGCGAGAAGCCCUUUGCCUGCGGCGCCUGCGGCAAGGCCUUCGGCCAGAGUUCCCAGCUCAUCCAGCACCAGAGGGUCCACUCCCGGGAGUAGUGUGCGUGUGAGGCCUGGAGGAGCCGCGGGGGGCCGGGGACAGCGGCCUGGUGCGGAGGGGACUUUGGGGAGGGCUCCGCCUCUGCGCGCCACCCAUUUGGCACAACCGGCACCGUGCGCUGUGUCCCGAAUAAAUUUUUUCUACCUGACGGCGACGAGGAAGGCCGUGAGGCUGCCCCAUCCCCGAGGGCGUGUCCACUUGGAGGAGCCGGUGUGGUCAGCACCCCAAGAUGGGUGUUCCGAGGCCAAGACCCAGGCUAGGCGGGCCGGCCGGGUGCCCGCUGGCACCCUGGACUGCGGUCUCCAGCAGUCCUGUCCCCCACCCCACCCCGUGCGUCUGGGGGAGGCGUGUAGUGUGCUCUUCAGCCUCGAGCCCUCCCGGCUGCUCUGUGCACUUCUCACCUGCCUCUGCACCUGCUGGUGGCUGCCUGAGGCCAGCGGGCUUCAGUGGAAGGCGCCCCUGUCCAGCCUUUAUGGAAUUUGGAGGCCCAGGGGUUCCCCUCCUGACAGGCCGCUGCAGCUGGGUGGUGGCUUCAGCUCUGCCCUGUAG
rnacentral:lncRNA from 1 species